rnacentral:lncRNA from 1 species
GGUCAUCAAUGGUAGAGGUUAUCUUCAUAAUAGAUAGAAGUAAUAAAGAUAAGUAGUGGAGUAAUUUCUAGAGUAAUGGAUAUCCACACUUAUUGGUUUUAUCACACUCCCCCUUGGAUGUCUAUAGAGAUGUGUCUUAUUAAAACCUUACUACGAAAAAACUCUGUGGAAAAAAAUUUCUAGUAAAGGAAAAAGAGUAUACAUAUCUUAUAAUACGCAUUUGUUUGUUGUCUCGUUAAAAACCUUGCCAGGAAAAUCCAUUGGGACAAAACCUAAAACAAGAAAAAAAGAGUGCAGCGCGUAUUUUACUCCCCCUGAUGCAAAUAUCAUUUCACUUCUCAAAGACGACGCCUCCAAUAUUAUAUGUCUGAUUUCAAAUAUUCAUAUUGAUUGUGCCGUUGUGAUCAAAUCACAUUCAUGAAAAUGUUGCAUUCUUGAAAUCGUCCUGAUGUGUUAUUUUCUUAUUUCUUGGAUACGUUAAGCCCAUAAACACAGACAAAUAAAUUCUUAAAAUCACUCUAUAUGUGACCUCAUCGUCGCAAGUCAUUUGUAUAUUGCACUUGUUCAUAGCAACAACCAAUUAGCUGUGGAAACUCAUUUGCAUGAUAGAUCAAAUAUUCUUCCUGCAUUUGUAUAACCAACCAUCCUUUGAUAAUAUUUGUUAAAAAUAAUAAAUUCAUAUCAAUAAUAUUUUAUUUCACUCAUAUUCAUAUAAAAAGUAAAAUUAUAUCUUUUCUACACAUUAAUAAAAACUAUUAUCUCAUGUAUAGAGUAGCAAGAUACAUAAAUACAAUAGUUGUACUAAUACAUGAUAUUUUCUAAUCAUUUUCAUGAGAUAAAAAUUGAUCUUUUUUUAUGGUAAGCGAUCUCUUAACCAUUGGGAUAUUCAAUGGAUUGAAUCUUUUUUAAAUCCUUUAAGGAUUUUUUAUAACAUUUGUCGUCUAGCUAAACAUGACAGUCAAUCAUUAUACGCAUUAAAGAUUUUCAUACAUUGCCAGAUUUAAAAACAAAAAACUUAUUGCAUCCAUCAUAGGAGAGCACAUCUCCAAAUAAUAAUGACAGGACUUUGCGAAUAACCUUUAUGCCUCAAGGCACAUGUCGUAUUUUAUAUCUUACGAUUUUACUUUUCACACAAUCACUAAUUUGUAUCCCACUGGCAUUAAACCUUAGUUUAUGGACUAAUUCCAAAAUAUCACUUUUCAAGUGAAAAAUAAUAUAUUUGAAUUUAAAUUCAAGAUCCCCGAUACCAUUGUUAUUUAAUAUCGAUUGCAUCACGACAUAACAUAUCAAGAUCGAUCUCUUUUUUUUUCAUCAUUUUCAGGUAUCUAAACCUUUGCCAAGGUUUUAUGAAGAGUUAUGUCGUAGUGCUUUUUAAAGCACUUGCCUCAUUAUCAUUGAUCAUAUUUAUCAUUUGCUCUUCCCCUUUUUCAAGGAGUUUUAUGUUUGGAACCGAUUUGUCUUGUCACACUCCAGGCGUUUCAUAGACUCUGUCCUUCAAGGACUUCUCAUUGGAGUAUUUAUAGCUGAAUUAUAGCAUAGGAUCUGUCUGGCAAUGAACUUGCAACAUUUUGCAAAUCACGAAUUAUCAAUUGAACUUCAAGUUCAUUAUUUUUUUACGAGGAUCUCGAUAAUUCAUUUCAUACAUUUCAGCUAUUAAUUAUAUAUCCUCCUAAUAUUAGAAAAUCUAACAUUCACCCCAAUCUUAUUUGGGGAUCCAUCUUUACGCGUGGUGGAUAUUGCACAUUCAAAUUAUUUAGAUGAAUUCAUUUGGUUUCUGACCCCGAACCAAUAAAUAUGGGAACUUUGUUGGCUUGAUGCAUAUAAAUGUUGUUACAUUUAAAUAAAAUCAUCUCAUAUCAAACUUUCUUUAUGGGAGAUUUGCUCUCACAAUCAAUGGUUCGGUUAUAAUUGAAGGCACGCAAUUUUCUGGUGAACUAAUCGACAUUAUCCACUUUUAUAGUUUAGAACCAUUCUCUCAAUUUAACAAUUUGAGCAAACAACCUUGCUAAAAUCAAAUUGUAAGUUGAUAGCAGCGGAUCUAACCAACCAUAGAUGUAUCUCAUUUCAUAAUAAACGGUCCACAUGCCAGGUGAAUGGGCUCAUAUUCACCUUGUUGUACGUUCCAAAAAAUCUAGGGGAUAUAACUAUACCUUUAGUUGGUAUAAUAUUUUAUCGUGAGAACAAGCAACAUAAGAGAUUCUUGAAGAAUCAUUUAUUUCUUCAAUGUAAAACCUCAUGAAUUCUCAAUUAUUUUUGCAUCACAUUUGAAUAGGGAUGGUCAACCGGUCAUGCCAACUUAUAUAUUUCUUGUAAACUUUUAGUUUACUGCAGCAUGUGAUUCCGUCACCAUGUCCAUAUAUUUGUAUUAAUAAACAAGGAGAAAAUAGAUGACCUUUCAUAUAAAUAUUUGUAAUCUGUUUCAAUUGUACUAAUAUGAAGAUACAAAAUUUUUUCAUAAUUUACAGUCUCAAUAUGAUUAAAAAAAAGUCAAUUCCCUUGAAACUUAAAAAGUUUCUUUUGGAGACUUACUACAACUUCAAUAACCUAAAUAAUUUCAUUCCUCCGAGUUAUAACACAUUAGCUUUUCAAAGCUAUCAAAUACUUGUGUACUACCUCAUAUUUCAAAACACCAUUUGUAUGGUGGUCAUCUCCUUUUAGGGAGAAUAUUAUAGACAAAAUUAUUUUAUGCAAGACCUCUUUCUUACUUUAAUUUUGUCUUUAAUAAUUUAUUUUUAUAAUAUUUGGCAAAAAAAAUUUUGACGUACCAUAUUUGCGCAAUCAAUGAGAAAUUCAUUCAGCCACACCAUGAUAUUCAUUUUGGUUAUAGUCAAAGCUUUUACAGGCAAGAAUGACUUCUUGCUUUUAGCUUUUGGUAGAUCAUGAUAAAAUAUAUUAUAGCAUCAAUAACCUUUUUAUACAAAUUAAAAUUCUUUAUUUUCCUCAAACCUCCCGUAGAGGUGAGUUUUGAUAUUUAUUCAACCAUAUAUAUGCAUGUCUUUGUUUGUGAAUUUUAUCACAUUUUGACACAUUCACUUUCAUGAAUGAUCGGGCAUCCACAAUGUUUAUUACAAGUCACAUUCUCUUCAAGAAAUGAACUAAUUCAUUGUAUACGUUCUAUUAUAAGCCCAUUGUUAUCCAUUAUUUAUUUGUCAUAUUUAUAUGAUCCACCUCAAUAUUAUUUUAGAAAGAGAGAAGUAUACAUUACCCCCCUAAACUUGUCAUGUUUUAUUCAUGGUACACCUGAACUUUGAAUUGGCCUAAGUACCUCCCCAAACUUGUUGUUUUAGUAAAUUGUGUGGCCCUUUUUAGCUGAUUGCCCACAAAGUGUAAUACACGCGCGAACACGUGGAAAAAAGUGUUGAUGUGGUUGUCCACGUGGAUAAAUACCAUCCACCUCCCUUAUAUUUAUCCUAUAUUAAAAAAUAACUCACUUCUACCUUUAAUUAUCCGAUUUCUCUCUACAAAAAUUAUAUUUUUCAGUUUUCCUCUACUCCAAAAUAGUGAAAGGUUGAAUUUUCGUCGAUCAAAUAAGCUAUUAUCUAAAAAUUUAUAUUUUUUGUGUGUGUUAAAAAUAUGAAAUUAUUUUUUCCCAAUUAGUGUUUCAUAGUAGUUUCUGAUUAGUGUUUCGAUUAGAAUUUUGAGGAGACUCGCAUACAUAAACACAUUUCUUAUUAUAAUUAAUGGAGUAAAAAAUCGUAAUUUAAGUUAGAGGUUACAAAAAUCGAAUCGAUAAAAAUGUUAUUGAUUUAUCGUUAUUGGGUUAAUGAUUUUGUGAAAAAAAAACUAUUGGAUCAUUGUUUCGAUUUUGUUUUUUUAUAGUGGGUUAUUGGGUAAACCGAUAACCCAAUAAGUUUAUGCUAAAUUAUUAUUUUAUACUCCAUAUAUAUAUAUAUAUAUGUGUGUGUGUGUGUGUGUGUGUGUGUGUGUGUGUGUAUUACACCGAAUAAGUAGGAUUUUGGUUGCGACUAAGAUUCGGUUUUUUUCAUGUUAGUUACUACUUUUUCUAUUUUAUGAGUAUUUUCCUAUCGGUUAAAUCGAAAAUCAAAUCGUUAGGGACUAAAAAUCGAUAACCAAUAUAACUACAUUUAUUGUUAAGUAUGUGUCUUAAUUUCUUUAGUAUUUAUUUUGUUAUUAUUUUUUAAAAUAUCUUCUUCGAUAUUUAGUAUAUUUUUUAAUUAAAAUAACUCAUAUAUAUAUAUAUAAAUUAAGAUUACAAAAUUGAAGGAAUUUCAUAAAAAUAGAAACUGGAGCUUUACAUUGAAUUAAUAAACGAAUGAAUUUGUUUUUAGAUUAAUAAACAAAUUUUUUUGACAAAAUUAAUAAACAGAUCAAAUUUUUAUUUCAUAAACUAAUUACUAAACUGGAGUUUUACAAAAUUAAUAAACAGAUGAAUUUUUUUUGUAGAUUGAAAGUAAUGGAGGAAGAGGGAUAAUUGAAUUUAUUGAAAAAACUAAAACAAAAUGAUUUUUUUUUGUUUUUUAAUCAUUAAAAAAGUUGAUUUGGUCAAAAAAUCACUCCAUCACGCGCGUGAUGGAGUGUGAUUACAAAAAUUUUGCCACAUCGCCAAAAAAAGGGCCAUGCGACGUACUAAAAGAAUAAGUUCGGGGGGAGGGGGGAGAGGGUACUUAGGACUAGUCAAAGUUCAGAUGUAUCAUGAGUAAAACGUGACAAGUUCAGGGGGUAAUAGAUACUUCUCUCUUUUAGAAAAUCAAGUGUCGCACCACUUUAUAUUCCUUUAUUUUGAUGGAGAUUUUUUAAGAUUUAUUUAGGUCACACUACUAUCGAGUGCCCAAUACAUUGCCUAUCAAAUUAAUGAUAAAAAUAACAACCUUUAUUUUUUGAAGGACUAUUUUGAGAACUCGUAAUGUUCUUUCUUUUACUAUUACCACAAUGAUGACUGUUAAUUUUUUUUCUUCACACCCACAUAUAUUAAAUCACUUGUCUUCUUUCAAACUUAUUACACAAUGCUAUCGCAUUCACAUCAAAAAAUGGAGCAUAUCAAUGUGGUGGAUUUUAUGACUUUUUAUCAAAAACAUAUUAUUUGCCUUAGUCAUUGUCAUUAUAAAUAUAUUGCAUUGGGACUUGAAUCCAACAUCUUACCAAAAUAAAGACGUUUAAGGCAUAAUUGGAUGAGACUUGAACCUAAUAUAUGGUGCAUCAGGACUCAAAUUUGAUGUCUUAUCCAUUUAUCACGAUAGCACUUGAAUCCACCGUCUCACCCUCAAUCAAUUGCAUAAUAAGUCAAGUUAAGUGCAACAUGACUCAUCCUUGAGACUUUGAAUAGUACCACACUCUAUAAUUAUUAAUAUAAAAUAUAAUUUAUAAUACUAAACAUUUAGAAGAUAGUUAUACGUAACACAUAUGCUUCAGAAAUAAAAAGUCAUAGUCAUUCUAUUUUGCAACAAAAACAGUGUUGCCUAAUUUGAAAAAACACUCUACUUGUAUAUUCAAACAAUUAAUAUAUGCACAUAUUUAGGUAAUUCAUAAAAUGAGAAGUACACUCACUACAACCAUAUAACCUUAAAAGAAAAACAUUAAUUUGUUGUCACAAUUCCACUUGUCCUUAUUACAUUAUAUUCUCUAUGGUGUUUAGAGAUGGUCAACUUCUAUUUCAAAAUUAAAUUAAAAAAAAAAUAAAUAGCACUAGAACCAGUAGCAUCAAUUUUACAUGUGCUAAAAUUGUAAAGCAUGGUUAAAAAAUGUAGCACUAAAACUAAUCACUUAAAAAAAAAAAUAGGCACUUAUCACAUGUUGUAUUUAAAAAUCAAAUUUUUAUAAAUCAACUAACAAUAAAGAAGAGAAACUCACCACCUCCACAAUCUAGUUGCUGAGUUAAUCUUACCUUUAAUUUGUGAGUUUCGUGCUAAUAACGUGUUAAAAUUAAUCUAAAAGCAUAACAAUUUGAAAGAAGUAGACAUAAGAAGACAAGACGAAAGAUUAGAACUUUUCAUUCUUCCAAGUAUCAAAUAUACAAGUCUUUCAAGUGUAUACAAUAUGAAUCCUUAUGCCUCUAUUUAUAGUGUCAUAUAGAGGCAUGCAAAAGGUUGUCAUAAACAUGACAUUAACCAUUAACUGGAGGAGGUUAUGGAUAUGAAAGGUUACAAGAAUAAUGGUCAUCAAUGGUGGAGGUUAUCUUCAUAAUAGAGGAAAGUAAUGGAGAUAAAUAGUGAAGUAAUUUCUAGAGUAGUGGACAUCCACACUUACUGGUUUUAUAACAAGGAAAUUUAUAUUGGGAACAACUAGAUUAAAGAGGAACCUCAACAUGGUUAACUGGGAAAUAGUAACGACUAAUAGAAAGGAUGGGGCUUGGCUGCAACAAGCAGAAACCAAAAACAUAUCCCUCCUAAAUAAUUUAGCUUGGAGAGCGAGCUUAUACUAAACCCACAUCACUUUGGUCUACAUUAUUGAUAAAUAUAUAUGCACCUAAAGGUAUCAAUUCUGCAGAACUAUCAAUUAACACAUACCAUAAUACGACUUGGAAAAACAUAAGUAUGGGCUAGAAUAUUUGUAAGGAUGGACUACAUUGGUCCACAAGGGAUGACUCACGUAUUAGGUUGUAGCAAAAUAGAUGGGUUGGGAAUAAUUGGACCUUACGAGAACUAAUACAUGGACCACUCACUCUAAUUGAUGCAAACAUGAAAGUUAAAGACAUCAUUGUUAAUUUUGGUACUUGGAAUUAUGACAACAUAUCUUUUGUCAUUCCCAACUCUAUUAAGAAUUUAGUUGAGUGCACC